rnacentral:rRNA from 1 species
GACGAACGCUGACGGCGUGCUUAACACAUGCAAGUCGAAGGGAGUGGCGAACGGGUGAGUAACACGUGAGUAACCUGCCCUUUUCUUUGGGAUAAGCCUGGGAAACUUGGUCAAAAACUGGUUAGGAUGGGAUGGGCUCGCGGCGUAUCAGCUGGUUGGUGGAGGGAUGGCUUACCAAGGCUUUGACGGGUAGCCGGCCUGAGAGGGUGGUCGGUCACACUGGGACUGAGAUACGGCCCAGACUCCUACGGGAGGCAGCAGUGGGGGAUAUUGCACAAUGGACGAAAGUCUGAUGCAGCGACGUCGUGUGGGGGAUGAAGGCCUUCGGGUUGUAAAGUACUUUCAGCGGGGAGGCGUUACCCGCAGAAGAAGCACCGGCUAACUCCGUGCCAGCCGCCGCGGUAAUUC